AACGUUUUCUUUUUUUUUCUAUCUCCUUUGAGUUUUUGUGUCUAAGUUGAUAAAAGGCUGUCCAACAAAGAGCUGGAGUUUCACAUGCAGAUUUAAUUAAGGCAUAGUGUUGAAACCUGAUUUGCAGAGCUUGCUCUAGAGCAUCUGACUCAGAUUUGCUCAGCAAACCUACCUCUUUCUUGGCUAAGAGUACAGAUGAAUAUACCUUUCAUCAAGCAUGUAUGAUGUGAUAGCAGGACCUUGUCUGCUUCAGGAAUCAAGCAUGUAAAAAUUGUAAUAGCUGUGUCUAUUCUUUUUAUCAUCGGCUAGUUCAUAUGGAGUAAAAAUCUUUUUUCAUAGCACAUGUAAUGUGUUCUGGGAGAGGUGCCAAGCAUAUUCUUACUUCUAUUUUGUUUUUGUGCAAAGGUGUUCUAAAUAAGAAUAAUCAGCCCCACAGAGGAUAUGACAGUAGCCAUGUAUUUUCUGCCUAAGGAUUAUAAAAGGGUUUUCCCUCAGAGAUGUGAUAUUAAGUUACUGAAGUCUAGCAUCUGGCCUUGAAAAUACGUCUUGAUGCUCACAUACAGGUCUUUAACUACUUCCCUUUCAACCAAGUCUACCAACUUGUUUUAAUGCAUGAGGUCCAUGCAAAUAAUGGCAGCAAGACCUCCUAGAUGAAGUAUUUUUCUUCUCACUCACAAGCUUGGUGUGUUGCAUAUGAAAAUCUACGAGGACCCAAAACCCCAGACUUUAUUUUUGGGCAGCUCCCCAUAGUUGUUGAUGCAGAAAUAAGGGAUUUUUCCAGAGUUUUUACAUCAGAAGUGUGGGACAGAAGAUAA
rnacentral:lncRNA from 1 species